UACGUAGGGGGCAAGCGUUGUCCGGAUUUAUUGGGCGUAAAGAGCGUGUAGGCGGCCAUGCAGGUCAGCUGUGAAAACUCGAGGCUCAACCUCGAGACGUCGGUUGAAACCGUAUGGCUAGAGUCCGGAAGAGGAGAGUGGAAUUCCCGGCGUAGCGGUGAAAUGCGCAGAUAUCGGGAAGAACACCCAUGGCGAAGGCAGCUCUCUGGGACGGUACUGACGCUGAGACGCGAAAGCGUGGGGAGCAAACAGG
rnacentral:rRNA from 1 species